rnacentral:tRNA from 1 species
GCUUUCUUAACUUUUAUAGGAUAGAAGUAAUCCAUUGGCCUUAGGAGCCAAAAAAUUGGUGCAACUCCAAAUAAAAGUA